rnacentral:other from 1 species
GGUAUCCUGAAAUGUUCGAGAACUCUCGUUAUUUUGAACCUACAAAACUUUAAACGGGAUUCCUAUAUUGCUUUGCCUAUGUCAGGCCUCAUCAGCUUUCAGUGGAAGGCAGAAGUAAAGUUGCGGUCGCCCACCUAGCCAUAGCUAGGAGUCAAAAUACGGGAACCGGCAUUUUGGGUGUUAC